GGUUUCAUACGUGUAGUUCAAAACUUUUUCUAGACAUCUAUGCAGUGAAAAUAAAUAAAUUAAAAUAAUUUUAAUUUAUUCAUAUACCAGAUCAGAUCUAAAAAUUAUAAUAAAAAUCUUGAUACAAACAUAUAACCAUGAUCUAAAAUUUGAAAUAAAAAAAUAAACCGUUAGAAAAAAUAAACGGAGAUCAGAUCUCCAUACCUCAGAUCCUGCGGAUGUCCCAGGAUCUGAUCAUAGCCACGCACGCGCCCGACCUCUG
rnacentral:lncRNA from 1 species